ACCUUCAUGCAAUCAUACGUGCCUUCCACA
rnacentral:piRNA from 1 species